GUGCUAGUUUUGGCAGCACAUAUACUAAAAUUAGAAUGAUACAGAGAUUAGCAAGGUCCCUGGACAAGCAUGACAUACAAAUUCAUGAAGCAUUCCGUAUUUUU